UACGUAGGGUGCAAGCGUUAAUCGGAAUACUGGGCGUAAAGCGUGCGCAGGCGGUUAUGUAAGACAGAUGUGAAAUGCCCGGGCUUAACCUGGGAACUGCAUUUGUGACUGCAUGGCUAGAGUUUGGCAGAGGGGGGGGUAGAAUUCCACGUGUAGCAGUGAAAUGCGUAGAUAUGUGGAGGAACACCGAUGGCGAAGGCAGCCCCCUGGGUCAAGACUGACGCUCAUGCACGAAAGCGUGGGGAGCAAACAGG
rnacentral:rRNA from 1 species